GGUCACUCCACAGCCUUUUCUUCUUCAGACAAAUGAUACUUAUCUAAAUCAAUGUAUUUUUAUUUGUCUUUUGGUGCCAUUGUGUUGAUGUCUAUUAAGGGUAAUACAAGAUACUGAGAAGAAAUGUUCUAUAUUUCUGUGUCUCUUUAAGUAAAAGUUAAUCUCUGGAAUUAAGAAGGAAGCAGUUUCACGGAGGACCCAGAAGUACAUGCCAGAGCAAGAGAUGCUCUUCCAUAGGAGUGUAGAACCAUAGAAUAGCGUGUAUUGGAAGGGAACUCAAGUAACAUCAAGCUCCAACCCCCUGCCACAGGAAGGGCCACCAAACUCCAUACUUAAAACAAGAAUACUUUAAUGUUUAAACGUUAAAUUAAAUUAACACUUAAUACUAGAAUACUUUAAUCCCAGCUGUACUGGGGAGAAACAUUUUGCAUAAAACCCCCUAGAAAUGGAACAACCUCAACUUACCAAAUAACAUCCACUGCAUCCAACACAUGGAUAACCACUGUAUUAAAUCCAGAUGUAACACAGUAGGAAUCUGGGUAAGUAAUUGUUUCAUAUCAGUUUUUGGCAUUUUAAAAGCUCCAUCUUCAGCAGGCUGAUGGUGUGGGCAGUGUGAUGGGCUAAGGCUUGUUUCCAAAGCAAUGGAGGAGAUGAGGGAUUUGGGGCUCCUGUAUCUGCAGUCACUGCCGUUGUGGGACUUCACAGCACCACAGCAAUAUAUCACCUCUUCCUAUAAGUCUGUCCUGUGCAAUCUCUAAACAAGUAAAAUAAUUUUUUUAGCUCCCGUAUCCAAGUCCCUAAAUAACCUGGAAACUCAUCCAGCCACCGUGCUAAUAAAACCUAAUUCUAACCGAUGAGAAAACCAAGUUUUCUGAAGCCUUUUAUCACAUUCUGACAGCGUGACAAAACCAACGUGUUUUGGGGCAGCUCUUCCAGUUUGGCUGGGUUCCCCUACAACGACCCAUGCAAUCUGCUGGUCUCCUCCAGCCAUCCCUGCCCAGUCUGGCAGCCUGGCCUGCCUGGGGCGGCCUCUGGCGCUGUGAUCAUCCAUUGUAAUCCUCUGCUCAGCACAGGGCUGCCUUUUUGGGACCAGGCUUUUUGGAACCCAGUCCAAACACCCCAUGAAAAUCCCUUGAAACUCUGAGUUUGCCCACACUUUAUGGGUGACUGUCUCCAGGAAUUAACUGCUGUCACUGCCAGAAGUGAUUUUUCCUUAUGUGCGUUUGAAAUUCGCGUUGCUACAACUUUUUUCUCUUCUCUUUUUAAUUUCUUUCAGUAUUUUUAUUCUGACAAAUGCUUGUUCCCAUUGAGUUGGAAUCCAAACUGAAAACGUACACAAAACUCAAUAAAAUAAUCAGAGCUCUGCCACAGAAUGGAAAUCCUUAAUUUAACAGCAUGCUCUGAAGGAAGCACACAGCCUGCAUGUGCUCAGAUCUAUUCAGUUGGCCUCCCAGGGUCUCAGUGGGCUUCUGCAUGAACAACGGGGUCUAUUCUGAUGAAUGUGACUGUGAAAGUAGUUUGGGGAUCGUAACAGGGUAUCAGAACAUGCAUAUAAAAUAAUAAUUCAUAAUAAACUUAUUAAGAUUCCUUCAAGUGAAAUCCCAUUUACAUCCUUCAUUUUCUAUAGGGAAAUUAAGGAUUUCUAGUAGUAGAUUUUUUUUUUAAUUCUUGGGAGACGCAGCAUUUGCAGCCUUCUGCUCCCAGCAUCUGUGUAGCAGACCAAGGAACAGAAUAGAACAAGUGCUGGCCGUAUCUCUGAGAUUAAAGACCAUUGUGUGUGAGUUGCUAAGCCACGGCCUGAAGUAGUGAUUGAGCACCUGGCGAAGGGAUGCAGCCAGCCUUGGGAGCACAGGUGGAAGCAGUUCAGCCUUGUGACUGGAAGGGGUGGGCCCUGUCUCCAUCCCUUCCUAACCUCAUUUAAGGUCUGGCAGCCACAAGCAAAGAACGUUUACCUGGAGGUUCCUCCUUUUGGAGUGUUUGGUGAGUCCUGAUCUUUGGGAUGGGAGCUAAACCUGAAUCCCACUUAGGUGUUCAAUUAAAAAGCCCUACUGAAAUAGAUACUGAAACCUUCAGGAGUUUACCUCUGAGCCUGGCUGACUUAUGCCAAGAUGGAAGUUAAUGAAAGAAGCCCUCACUUAGUGGCACACACCAAAAAGGAGAUCCCUUGCAUCCCCCUUACCACAGGGAAGCAGUUGGCAAACAAGCAGGUGACCACAAGUCGUCUGCAAGUGUUGAAAAGCAAUUUGCUGCCUUUGCAUUACCAGCUGUGCAGACACAUUUAGUACCUGUGCUGGAUGGAUGCUCUGUGAUCUUCUGCCUUGUCACCAUCUGCAUGAAGGUUUCUUAGCAGCUGCCUGAUUUCUUCCCUCAUCCCUGUGGGCUGUGCUGGGAGUGGUUGGAUCCCUUUCCUGGUGUCUGAGGUAUGGGAUGUGGGCAGGUGACCCUGGGACUGCAAGCACUGAGUCCAGGCAUGGGAUGCACUCAGCAACUUUCCUGCACAAGAAGAUGAAUCAUAGAAUCAUAGAAUGGCCUGGGUUGAAAGGGACCACAACAGUCAUCUAGUUUCCACCUCCCUGCUAUGUGCAGGGUCACCAACCACUAAACCAGGCUGCCCAGAGCCACAUCCAGCCUGGGAAGAUGGAUGUGAAGAUGGAGAAGUCCUGGGGGAUGAAGGAGACUUCUGAAAGUCUUGGGGAGAAUACACUGGUAUCUGAUGAAGUUAUGCAGGAAUCUUUGCUCAGAUGCCUCUUCUGCCCUACCUUGUGUUGGAAGAAACCCUAAUGGCUGUGCCUGUCCCUUCUCCAUGGUGGUUUUAAUACCAGGACUGCCGCACCGCUCUGGCUGAAGCAACAAGGAAGGCCACAACCUAACUGUGUUUUAAAUAACCAGGUAAUGCUUCGGUAUCUCUAUUACUUCUGGUGAAGCAGCUUCUAUCAUAUCUGAAAGAUGAGUUAUAAUUUGGGGGUUGGCCUUGAUGAUCUCCAGAGCUCCCUUCCAACCCCUAUGGUUGUGUGAUUAUCAGUCAUGAGUAAACAGAACUGGCAGCUGAAUGAGGUACAGGAGCUUAAAUAACGUGCUGAGCUUGGGAAUGGUCUGAGGGUUGGUAAUACUACAAUAGUGCUUUCUAUUUGUGUUCUUCAAGCAUGUUUUUCCUGGAAAUCACACAGGCCCACACAGUGAUGGAUGGGGCACGCUGUCAUUUUGAGUCACCGGUAUGUUGGGAUGGAAUAGGAAAGCUCCUUUAAAAGCAGACCGUGUCAUGUUUGCAGCUUCGUUUUCAUGGAUGAAUAUUGUUUUGAGACUAAUGUAAGCUCUGUGUAUUAUUUGGUACCAAAAUUGUGCUAUGCAAUUUCAUUUCCAAGUACUCUCAGGGUCAUUUAUGUGUAUAUAAUGGGUGGAUAAGUCAAACAAAGAGCCCUCCUCUGCCACUCUGGGCACCAGGUCAUGCAUAGGCGUCCAUGCUAGGAGCUGAUAGGAAGCUGGCAUUGCUGUGCUCUGUGAGCCCACCCUGAGCUGGCAUUUCAUUGAGAACCCUUUUGGAGACUGUGUGUUGCUUUGUCUAAUAGCAAACAGACUUAGCAAACGAGCUCCAGAAUACGUUAGCAGGGUUUGUUUCUUUUUUGCAUGUUUGCAGUUUUCAGUUCAGGCAUUGACAGCCGUGAACUUCACAAUGAGACUGACAUCCGAGAUCUGUGUAAAGGUCAAUGUUUUUAAUCGUGCUUUAUAGAUAAAAGCAAUAUCUACAUCGAUACAGUCUGAUAGCAUUGAUUUCAGCACAGAGUUUUCAAUUAUUAUUCAGAAUUCUCUAUUAUCUUGCUGCAGUCCCACAGCCUUAGCAGAUAGUGCAGUGCUCCAUGAGAUAACCUUUAACUCAUGCUGGUGUCAAAAGCGAGCUGUGAUGUGCACUCCCUGCCCUUCUGCAGUGGGCAGUCUGGGUAAGGAAGGCUUCAGUGCAAAUCAUGAUGCACUGAGGGCGCCUUCAGUUCUGAUAUGGUGUAUCAGCUGUUUGCAGGGCUGAUGGUGCAUGAACAAGCCAAGAUCUCAGCCAUGCUGGGAAAUGCAGGGCAGUGGGAGGGGUGGCUGUGAUUAUCCCAUUACAAAGGGAAGGAUGUCUUCACUCUAAAACAUGUCCAGUGUUACCUUGUAAAGCAUGGUUCAUCACAGGGGGGAUUGAUACUAAAUAAUAAUGCUUCUGCUUAAUUCCAGUAUAUACUGGGUUUAUCUAGGUGUUGUCAUUCACUGUUUCCAACAGCUUCCACGUGAUCAGUUGAAACCAAAGCACAGCACAGCUGCUUCUUGCAGGUGUACCUGUAGGACUCUUGCUGUUGGUGGUGUUCAGAGCAGCCACUUUGAGUAUCCCAAACCCUCACAUGGAAUACAGGAGGGCAGCAAAGCAUCACCUCCAGGCACAGCUGUGAUGACCCACUUAUGCAUCCUUCUUGUGUCUGCAGUGAUGUUAUCUCCAUUAGCGAUAUCACACCUGAAAGACGGAUGGCAUCAGGUUUAAAGUGAAUCCAUUCCCACGGGGCGAAAUGGGACUGCUUCCAAGCUGCUCCACUCCUAUCUACCUGGAAACACAGUAAACUCCUCCUAAUUCCUACAUCCUUCUAACUUCUACAUGAGACUCCGCCAGCUUUCAUCUGCUUGACAUGAGCUACCAGUGCUGGUGAUUACUCACUUGUGCUGGCUGUUAGUGAUAGUAAUAAAACGUUGACAAUGCCGGA